rnacentral:rRNA from 1 species
AUUGAACGCUGGCGGCAGGCCUAACACAUGCAAGUCGAACGAGUGGCGGACGGGUGAGUAAUGUCUGGGAAACUGCCUGAUGGAGGGGGAUAACUACUGGAAACGGUAGCUAAUACCGCAUACCAUCAGAUGUGCCCAGAUGGGAUUAGCGUGUUGGUGGGGUAACGGCUCACAAAGGCGACGCUCCCUAGCUGGUCUGAGAGGAUGACCAGCACCCCUGGAACUGAGACACGGUCAAGAUUCCGAAGGGAGCGAGCAGUGGGGAAUAUUGAACAAUGGGCGCAAUCCUGAUGCAGCCAUGCCGGGUGUAUGAAGAAGGCCUUCGGGUUGUAAAGUACUUUCAGCGGGGAGGCGUUACCCGCAGAAGAAGCACCGGCUAACUCCGUGCCAGCAGCCGCGGUAAUU